rnacentral:rRNA from 1 species
GAUGAACGCUGGCGGCGUGCCUAAUACAUGCAAGUCGAGCGAAUGACGAGGAGCUUGCUCCUCUGAUUUAGCGGCGGACGGGUGAGUAACACGUGGGUAACCUGCCUGUAAGACGGGGAUAACUCCGGGAAUCCGGAGCUAAUACCGGAUGAUAACGAGAAGCGCCUGCUUCUUUUUUGAAAGUCGGUUUCGGCUGACGCUUACAGAUGGGCCCGCGGCGCAUUAGCUAGUUGGUGAGGUAACGGCUCACCAAGGCGACGAUGCGUAGCCGACCUGAGAGGGUGAUCGGCCACCCUGGGACUGAGACACGGCCCAGACUCCUACGGGAGGCAGCAGUAGGGAAUCUUCGGCAAUGGACGAAAGUCUGACCGAGCAACACCGCGUGAGCGAUGAAGGCCUUCGGGUCGUAAAGCUCUGUUGUCAGAGAAGAACAAGUACCGGAGUAACUGCCGGUACCUUGACGGUACCUGACCAGAAAGCCACGGCUAACUACGUGCCAGCCGCCGCCGUAACAC